rnacentral:rRNA from 1 species
GACGUAGGGUGCAAGCGUUGUCCGGAAUUAUUGGGCGUAAAGAGCUCGUAGGCGGUUUGUCGCGUCUGCUGUGAAAACUCGGGGCUCAACCCCGAGCUUGCAGUGGGUACGGGCAGACUAGAGUGCGGUAGGGGAGACUGGAAUUCCUGGUGUAGCGGUGGAAUGCGCAGAUAUCAGGAGGAACGCCGGUGGCGAAGGCGGGUCGCUGGGCCGUAACUGACGCUGAGGAGCGAAAGCAUGGGGAGCGAACAGG